UAAUAUUAUACCUGUUCUUCUGUUUGCACUUCAGGAUCCCCGGACGAAACUCCGACUCACAUCAACAUAUAUGUAAUGGCUACCAGGCAUCAGGCAGACACUGAUUGUGACCACUGAUUAUCUAUUGCUGUUUUCUGAAAACAAAGUGAAAGAGUUAAAACAAAGAUGAUGAGAUAUGGUACCCACCUGAAAACAUUGUUAUAAAGGU